UGGUGUUUUCGGGAACUCUGAGACAGGUGCUGCAUGGCUGUCGUCAGCUCGUGUUGUGAAAUGUUGGGUUAAGUCCCGCAACGAGCGCAACCCUUAUCCUUUGUUGCCAGCGGUCCGGCCGGGAACUCAAAGGAGACUGCCAGUGAUAAACUGGAGGAAGGUGGGGAUGACGUCAAGUCAUCAUGGCCCUUACGAGUAGGGCUACACACGUGCUACAAUGGCGCAUACAAAGAGAAGCGACCUCGCGAGAGCAAGCGGACCUCAUAAAGUGCGUCGUAGUCCGGAUUGGAGUCUGCAACUCGACUCCAUGAAGUCGGAAUCGCUAGUAAUCGUAGAUCAGAAUGCUACGGUGAAUACGUUCCCGGGUCUUGUA
rnacentral:rRNA from 1 species